GCAUUAAUAUGUGCUUUUUAUGCAUUAUCCUAGUAAUAGGCCUAUGCAUGCAAAUAAGCUACUAGUUAAUAGUGAGAAUUGCACCCUAAACUAAAGUGUUACUGAAUAUUGAUUCAUCAAUAACCUUUUGCCAUCUAACUAAACCAAUAUGCCAAUUUCUGUUGGAUCUGAAGAGUUGUUCUGGUGCAACUGCAAGGAAAAAGCAUAGAAAGAACAUAUCAAACACAACUGAAUGGAGAUUUUGUUUAAUUUCUCAGUUGCUUAAGUGGUUUUGUGUUUAAAAAAUUAUGUUAUUUAUUAAAGAAUUAUGUCAAGAGGCGGAGCUUAACACAGGUCUGUCAAACACAGACUAGUUCAGCAUCACAGAUCACUGAGGGAAGCAGGAACCUGUUCAUCAUGUUCACUUGUGCACUAAUAUUGCUGACUUUAACUCAAGGUAACAGAGCUAAAGAGGUCAUCACUCCAUACAGUGAUGCAGCAUUUGCCACUGAGACUGAGAGUGUGAAACUCUCUUGUAACUACAGCGGUUCUGUUGAUAGUCUUCACUGGUAUCGACAAUACGCAGGUUCACCACCACAGUUCCUCAUACUGGAUUAUUCAGGAUACGUUACUCAAGCUACUCCUCCAGUUCCUGGAAUAUCCAUCAGUCACAGAAAAGAGGACAAAAGUGUGUAUCUGAUCAUCUCCUCUGCUGCAGUAUCAGACUCUGCUCUGUAUUACUGUGCUCUGAGGCCCACAGUCACAGGAAACACAAGAACACUGUACAAAAACAUGAAAAACUAUUAAGUCACAAAAUUGCAAUGAUGUCUAGCCAUCAUACACAAGAGCAUUCAGAAUAUAUAAUU